rnacentral:lncRNA from 1 species
UUUAAUCAUCUUAACUAUGCAAUGAAAAGCAUGAGAAAAUAUUUUCUCACUCAAAGAUGCAUGAUGGUAAAACAGGAAAGAUAUGUAGUGUUUCUUCCACUACAGCAUGAUUUUCAAGGUAAUUAUAAUUAUUUCAAGCAUGAACAAUUCGGUAGCAGUAUUUGAUAGUGACAACUCCGUGGAUACUGCUCCAACUUCAUAGAUAAGCAUAGAAGAUGAGGUUGCGAAUGUAACUUUAACCCACUAAUGAGUGUAAUAAAAGAAGUAGUUAUAUUUUAUAUAUCAUUCGGGCAAUAUUUCGCUAAACUAAUUAACUUCAUCGGGCGUGUACAUCUAACUAGAUGAAAUCGGG